rnacentral:rRNA from 1 species
GACGAACGCUGGCGGCGUGCCUAAUACAUGCAAGUAGAACGCUGAAGGAGGAGCUUGCUUCUCCGGAUGAGUUGCGAACGGGUGAGUAACGCGUAGGUAACCUGCCUGGUAGCGGGGGAUAACUAUUGGAAACGAUAGCUAAUACCGCAUAAGAGUAGAUGUCGCAUGACAUUUGCUUAAAAGGUGCAACUGCACCACUACCAGAUGGACCUGCGUUGUAUUAGCUAGUUGGUGAGGUAACGGCUCACCAAGGCAACGAUACAUAGCCGACCUGAGAGGGUGAUCGGCCAAACUGGGACGGAGACACGGCCCAGACUCCUACGGGAGGCAGCAGUAGGGAAUCUUCGGCAAUGGACGGAAGUCUGACCGAGCAACGCCGCGUGAGUGAAGAAGGUUGUCGGAUCGUAAAGCUCUGUUGUAAGAGAAGAACGAGUGUGAGAGUGGAAAGUUCACACUGUGACGGUAUCUUACCAGAAAGGGACGGCUAACUACGUG